rnacentral:lncRNA from 1 species
AAAACACACUCACACAAUCUUUUUAAUCUUUCUCUCUCCUCACAACAAAACACACGCACACACACUUUUUUUUAUCUCUCUCUCUCUUCAAUCACCACACACACACUUUAUAUAAUCUCCCUCUCUCUAUCUUUUUNNUUUAAAAUAUUCCUUCUCUCCCUCUACCUUUAUUAAAAGCAUAACACUCCUCUCUUUAUUCAAUCACCACAUGCACACACACAUUUUAAGUAUAUCUCUCUCUCUCUCACCGAUCCAUCCAAACACACACACACUUUCAAUAAUCUCUCUCUCUCUUUUCUCCCAAAACACACACACACAGCACGCUGGCACCGGCGACACCGCCGUCGCCUCUCCAGCCUCGUCUCUUCCUCCUCCGCCUGACACCCCCACACAACGCAGAACUCUCCCUCUCUCUCAAAGCUCACGACACGCGCAACGCAGCAGCGCGACAUCGCCCUCAACUCCGGCGACAUCACCGUCGAGCCGCCCUCUCUCCCCUCAACCUUCCUCUCUCUCUC